CUCCCGCCCGGGAACCACGUCGCUUCUCAGCAUCCGCUUCAACUCCGACAGGCCACGACAGGCCAGGCCAGCCGUACCCCAUCACUGCAAAUAAAACCCGCCGCUUACCUUGUAUCCGUCACUCGCCAAAGUUAAAUAUGACCUGCACUCACAGAGCAGACCAGCUUCCCAUCCUGACUAACAGAUUUCCUUGUUUUAAUGUGGAUUCGUGAGGCUCCAGCAGUUUGCCAACCACCCGGAGCGAAUUGUGAAAGGACAAUGACGGCAGCCGUGGACAUGCGCGCUGGGUGCUCGGGGCGGGGCUAACGUAAACGGAACCUGUCAAUCAUUUAGUAGACAAUGAGCUCAGAGCCCGCGCGGAUCAGGGAGAUGCUCAAGGUGUGGUAAUGUCCCUACGUCUGGAUCAGGGGGUCCGGCUUCAAGGCUCAUCUGUCCUGGAGGUUACGUGGACUUUACACACCAAUGAGGGAAUCAAGGCAUGAGAUUAUGGUGGAAUUCAGGUUGAAAAUCAGCCAGGAUCUCGAUGAAUGGCGAUGUAGCCUCAAUAGAUCUUCUUGCUUACUCUCUCUUCCAUCAACCUCCUCAGGUGGGACUUUCCUCACUACUCAGACAAAUAACCGCACGGUCAGAGAGAAACUGUAGCAAUGGUUUCCGAUCCUGUUAUCUCUGCAUCACUACUGAAUAAUCUCCUGAGUAUCCAUCAUUAGCACCUCUAAAGAUUGCAAACUCUACGGGAGACAUCCCUGAUGAAGGGCUUAUGGCCGAAACGUCGACUCUCGCUUCUUGGAUGCUGCCUCACCUGCUGUGCUUUUCCAGCGCCACACUUUUUGACUGGAGAAACUGUUCAUACAGAGUCAAUCACUUCAUGUAUUCAUCAUGCAAAGUAUGCAAUUGUUGUUGCAUUUACCGUAUAAUGGUUGGCUUUGCUAAAUAUCUUUGCUUGUAGUCAUUUAGCAGAACAUAUGUUCAUGAACAUUGCUGACAGUUUGUCAAGACGUUUCAUCUUCCACUCAUCAGGACAUUUUGCAACAACAGCGGUUCAAGGGGAAACGAACAUUUAUACUGUAUUAGGGGAGAGCAAGCCUCUCAUUUUCCAUGACAACUUCUCCACCAAUCAAUCAGAGUUAACUUGUCAACCAAUCAAUCCUGUCAUUUAGCUGUACAAUAUGGAAACAGACCUUUUGGUCCAACCCGUCCAUGCCGACUUGAUAUCUUAAAUUAAUCUAGUCCCAUUUGCCAGCUUUUGGCCCAUUUCCCUCAAAACCCUUCUAUUCAUAUUCCCAUCCAGAUGCCUUUUAAAUGUUGCAAUUGUACCAGUUUGCAAUUCCUAUGGCAGCUCAUUUCCCAUACGCCCCACUCUCUGUGAAAACGUUACCCUUUAGGUCCAUUUUAAAUCUUUCCUCUCUCACCUUACACCGAUGCGCUCCAGUUCUGGACUUCCCCAACCUGGGGAAAAGACCUUGGCUUUUCAUCCUAUUCAUGCCUCGUGAUUUUAUACACCACUCAGCCUCCGAUGCUCCAGGGAAAAUAGCCCCAGCCUAUUCAGCCUCUCCCUAUAGAACAAACCCUCCAAUCCUUGUAACAUCCUUGUAAAUCUUUUCUGAACCUUUUCAAGUUUUAUAACAUCCUUCCUAGAAUUGCACACAGUAUUCCAAAAGUAGCCUAACCAAUGUCCUGUACAGGCACAACAUGUCCUCUCAUGAAGUAUCAAUGUUGGUUUUCAUUUUGAGUACGUAUUCUUGCAAAUGUCCUGAUGAGUGCAAAUUGAAAAACUUUAACAAAAUAUGUUUUUCAGCAUUAUUCAUCUUCAUUUAUAGUUUAUUUCUUCUUUCAGAGGAUUUGGCCAGAGCUGGCUGGGCCAGCAUUUAUUGCCCAAACCCAUAUAUCUUUGAGAAGGUGACUUCUUGAAACCUUACAAUCCGUUUGGUGUAAGGACAUCCACAUGGCUUUAGUACAUCUUGUAAAUGGUGUAUACUGCUGCUAUGGUGUUGGAAGGAAUGAAUGUUCAUAGAUGUGCCAAUAAAGUGGAUUGCUUUGUUAA